rnacentral:rRNA from 1 species
UAAUCGUAGAUAGAAACUGACCUGGCUCACGCCGGUCUGAACUCAGAUCACGUAGGA